UUGAACGCUGGCGGCAUGCCUUACACAUGCAAGUCGAACGGCAGCACGGGUGCUUGCACCUGGUGGCGAGUGGCGAACGGGUGAGUAAUACAUCGGAACAUGUCCUGUAGUGGGGGAUAGCCCGGCGAAAGCCGGAUUAAUACCGCAUACGAUCCACGGAUGAAAGCGGGGGACCUUCGGGCCUCGCGCUAUAGGGUUGGCCGAUGGCUGAUUAGCUAGUUGGUGGGGUAAAGGCCUACCAAGGCGACGAUCAGUAGCUGGUCUGAGAGGACGACCAGCCACACUGGGACUGAGACACGGCCCAGACUCCUACGGGAGGCAGCAGUGGGGAAUUUUGGACAAUGGGCGAAAGCCUGAUCCAGCAAUGCCGCGUGUGUGAAGAAGGCCUUCAGGUUGUAAAGCACUUUUGUCCGGAAAGAAAUCCUUGGCUCUAAUACAGUCGGGGGAUGACGGUACCGGAAGAAUAAGCACCGGCUAACUACGUG
rnacentral:rRNA from 1 species